GGUAACAGGCGGGGCACAUGUAAACCCCACUCGAAGCAAGACCGAACAGGAAGCAUAUGGCUGCCCGUCAGCUUCCGGGUAGGUUGCUUGAGGCUGCCGGCGACGGCAGUCCUAGAUAGAUGGCCAUCCAACGACAUAACCCGGCUUAUCGUCCUGCUCACAUA
rnacentral:RNase_P_RNA from 1 species